UAUGUAGGGUGCAAGCGUUGUCCGGAAUCAUUGGGCGUAAAGAGCGUGUAGGCGGCUCGAUUAGUCCGCUGUAAAAGUCCAGGGCUCAACCCUGGGAUGCCGGUGGAAACUGUCGGGCUAGAGUCCGGGAGAGGCGAGUGGAAUUCCUGGUGUAGCGGUGAAAUGCGUAGAUAUCAGGAGGAACACCUGUGGUGUAGACAGCUUUCUGGACCAUUGCUGACGCUGAGACACGAAAGCGUGGGUAGCAAACAGG
rnacentral:rRNA from 1 species